GAACUGAAGGGACAAAGGAAUUAACCUGAAGGAAAAGGCAGGGGUGAGUCUGAACUGAGACAGGUGUCCAGUCUGUAAGAAGAAAUAUCUGGAACUCUGAGUCACAGAAACUCUGCAUCCAACCUAACUGAACAUUUAGGCAUCUUCCAGAAAGGCAUCAGUAUGGAUCUGAAGACAUCAAGAGAUGGCGAAUCAACCACUUCCACUUGGAGUUUUUUCCAACGGAGUUAUGCUCAUUCAUUCAAGGAACAGAACAACUUUCACCUCUGACUGAUGUGUUCAAUCAAACCAGCUUGAAUUCUGGAUAUGGACUAUUCACCACAAACUGCAUGGAAACAAUCCGCUGACCAAGCGUUACUUGCUGAAAUGAUUUUGGAAACAACUGAGGGGGUGGCAACCCAGAGAGUGACAAAGGAUUCCCGCCUUAUGUAAAAGAUAUAUAAAGAGGUGGAACAGAACAAAAGGAGGAGAGGAGCCAUCAUGAAGAAUCCCCUAGCUACCACCUGAGCUGGAACAAGAACUGUACCAGGGGAAAGAAUUGUGCCCAGGCCUGGAAGGUGUCCAGUCUGAGGAAAAAACUUACUGAAGCAUCUCUGAGGGUGAGAUUAUCUGUAUUCAGUUUGAUUAGACAUAGAUUUUUGCAUUUUAUUUUAUUUUGCUUGGUGA